rnacentral:misc_RNA from 1 species
GAUGAAGAACGUAGCGAAAUGCGAUACUUGGUGUGAAUUGCAGAAUCCCGUGAACCAUCGAGUCUUUGAACGCAAGUUGCGCCCGAAGCCAUCAGGUUGAGGGCACGUCUGCCUGGGCGUCACAUAUCGUUGCCCAAUGCCUAUUGCAGUGCAAUAGGAAUUUCUAGGGCGAAUGAUGGCUUCCCGUGAGCGUUGUUGCCUCGCGGUUGGUUGAAAAUCGAGUCCUUGGUAGGGUGUGCCAUGGUAGAUGGUGGUCGAGUUAGAACGAUAUCGAUCAUGUGCAUGCUCCCCAAAAUAUGGCCUCUAUGACCCACACGCGUCUUUUGACGCUCAUGACGAGACCUCAGGUCAGGCGGGGCUACCCGCUGAAUUUAAGCAUAUCAAUAAGCGGAGGA